rnacentral:rRNA from 1 species
AGAGCGAACGCUGGCGGCAGGCCUAACACAUGCAAGUCGAGCGCCCCGCAAGGGGAGCGGCAGACGGGAGAGUAACACGUGGGAACGUACCCUUCAGUUCGGAACAACCCAGGGAAACUUGGGCUAAUACCGGAUACGUCCGUAAGGAGAAAGAUUUAUCGCUGAAGGAUCGGCCCGCGUCUGAUUAGCUAGUUGGUGGGGUAACGGCUCACCAAGGCGACGAUCAGUAGCUGGUCUGAGAGGAUGAUCAGCCUCACUGGGACUGAGACACGGCCCAGACUCCUACGGGAGGCAGCAGUGGGGAAUAUUGGACAAUGGGCGCAAGCCUGAUCCAGCCAUGCCGCGUGGGUGAUGAAGGCCCUAGGGUUGUAAAGCCCGUUUCGGCGGGGAAGAGUAAUGACGGUACCGCAGAAGAAGCCCGGCUAACUUCGUGCCAGCAGCCGC